rnacentral:sRNA from 1 species
CCUGGGACUUGCGUCCCAGGCUGUUGCAUGCCGUCGCUUUGCGACU